UACAGAGGGUGCGAGCGUUAAUCGGAAUUACUGGGCGUAAAGGGCGCGUAGGCGGUUUAUCAAGUGAGAUGUGAAAUCCCCGGGCUUAACCUGGGAACUGCAUCUUAAACUGGUAAGCUGGAGUACUGUAGAGGACAGUGGAAUUUCCGGUGUAGCGGUGAAAUGCGCAGAUAUCCGGAGGAACACCGGUGGCGAAGGCGGCUUCCUGGACCGACACUGACGCUGAGGCGCGAAAGCUAGGGGAGCAAACGGG
rnacentral:rRNA from 1 species